GACGAACGCUGGCGGCGUGCUUAACACAUGCAAGUCGAACGGAAAGGCCCUGCUUUUGUGGGGUGCUCGAGUGGCGAACGGGUGAGUAACACGUGAGUAACCUGCCCUUGACUUUGGGAUAACUUCAGGAAACUGGGGCUAAUAUCGGAUAGGAGCUCCUGCUGCAUGGUGGGGGUUGGAAAGUUUCGGCGGUUGGGGAUGGACUCGCGGCUUAUCAGCUUGUUGGUGGGGUAGUGGCUUACCAAGGCUUUGACGGGUAGCCGGCCUGAGAGGGUGACCGGCCACAUUGGGACUGAGAUACGGCCCAGACUCCUACGGGAGGCAGCAGUGGGGAAUAUUGCACAAUGGGCGGAAGCCUGAUGCAGCAACGCCGCGUGCGGGAUGACGGCCUUCGGGUUGUAAACCGCUUUCGCCUGUGACGAAGCGUGAGUGACGGUAAUGGGUAAAGAAGCACCGGCUAACUACGUGCCAGCAGCCGCGGUGAUACGUAGGGUGCGAGCGUUGUCCGGAUUUAUUGGGCGUAAAGGGCUCGUAGGUGGUUGAUCGCGUCGGAAGUGUAAUCUUGGGGCUUAACCCUGAGCGUGCUUUCGAUACGGGUUGACUUGAGGAAGGUAGGGGAGAAUGGAAUUCCUGGUGGAGCGGUGGAAUGCGCAGAUAUCAGGAGGAACACCAGUGGCGAAGGCGGUUCUCUGGGCCUUUCCUGACGCUGAGGAGCGAAAGCGUGGGGAGCGAACAGGCUUAGAUACCCUGGUAGUCCACGCUGUAAACGGUGGGUACUAGGUGUGGGGUCCACUCCACGGGUUCCGUGCCGUAGCUAACGCUUUAAGUACCCCGCCUGGGGAGUACGGCCGCAAGGCCAAAACUCAAAGGAAUUGACGGGGCCCCGCACAAGCGGCGGAGCAUGCGGAUUAAUUCGAUGCAACGCGUAGAACCUUACCUGGGUUUGACAUGGAUCGGGAGUGCUCAGAGAUGGGUGUGCCUCUUUUGGGGUCGGUUCACAGGUGGUGCAUGGCUGUCGUCAGCUCGUGUCGUGAGAUGUUGGGUUAAGUCCCGCAACGAGCGCAACCCUUGUUCACUGUUGCCAGCACGUUAUGGUGGGGACUCAGUGGAGACCGCCGGGGUCAACUCGGAGGAAGGUGGGGAUGACGUCAAGUCAUCAUGCCCCUUAUGUCCAGGGCUUCACGCAUGCUACAAUGGCUGGUACAGAGAGUGGCGAGCCUGUGAGGGUGAGCGAAUCUCGGAAAGCCGGUCUCAGUUCGGAUUGGGGUCUGCAACUCGACCUCAUGAAGUCGGAGUCGCUAGUAAUCGCAGAUCAGCAACGCUGCGGUGAAUACGUUCCCGGGGCU
rnacentral:rRNA from 1 species